rnacentral:rRNA from 1 species
AACGGACGCUGGCGGCAUGCCUAACACAUGCAAGUCGAACGAGACCUUCGGGUCUAGUGGCGCACGGGUGCGUAACGCGUGGGAACCUGCCCUUAGGUUCGGAAUAACUCCCCGAAAGGGGUGCUAAUACCGGAUAAUGUCUUCGGACCAAAGAUUUAUCGCCUUUGGAUGGGCCCGCGUUGGAUUAGCUAGUUGGUAGGGUAAAAGCCUACCAAGGCGACGAUCCAUAGCUGGUCUGAGAGGAUGAUCAGCCACACUGGGACUGAGACACGGCCCAGACUCCUACGGGAGGCAGCAGUGGGGAAUAUUGGACAAUGGGCGAAAGCCUUAUCCAGCAAUGCCGCGUGAGUGAUGAAGGGCUUAGGGUUGUAAAGCUCUUUUACCCGGGAUGAUAAUGACAGUACCGGGAGAAUAAGCUCCGGGUAACUCCGUG